rnacentral:misc_RNA from 1 species
GAUGAAGAACGCAGUGAAAUGCGAUACGUAAUGUGAAUUGCAGAAUUCAGUGAAUCAUCGAAUCUUUGAACGCACAUUGCGCCCGCCAGUAUUCUGGCGGGCAUGCCUGUUCGAGCGUCAUUUCAACCAUCAAGCCCCCGGCUUGUGUUGGGGACCUGCGGCUGCCGCAGGCCCUGAAAACCAGUGGCGGGCUCGCUAGUCACUCCGAGCGUAGUAAUACAUCUCGCUCAGGGCGUGCUGCGGGUUCCGGCCGUUAAAAAGCCUUAUUUACCCAAGGUUGACCUCGGAGCAGGUAGGAAGACCCGCUGAACUUAAGCAUAUCAAUAAGCGGAGGA